rnacentral:lncRNA from 1 species
GCAUGCUUUUUGAGAAGUGUAUCAUCUAGGAAGAAAAUCAAAUGGAGUAUUGGUAAUUAAAUUGUAAUUCCAUGAAGGAAGGAAGUGGUGCAAAAGAUGAAGCUAACUAUUCCUGUUUUUCUUUUUAAGAGUCUGCAAUUCAUAAUGGAGCUACUGUACUGGCUAUUGGAAGGAGGAGAUUCUGAAGAUAAGGAGGUAAAACCUGUUUAGAAAUUAAAAAUGAGUUACGAUUUAAAGAAAAUUCAGAUGACUCAUUGUGAGUGCUAGUUCUCUUGUAGGAUGCCACUGGAAAUGUUGAAAUGAAAAAUAUUCAGCCGUUGGUCUUUGAAAUUUCCUGUGAUGUGUUUCAAUCUAGAUGCAAAGAACAUGGAAAAAUCAAAGUGCUCGAGUGGUUUAAAUAUGUUUUGGGUAUUCCUGUUUAUAGACUAUAAUACUUUUCCAAUUAAAAUCCUCAGUUGUCACGC